rnacentral:misc_RNA from 1 species
GCAAACACUACAUAUGAGUAGUUUGUUGAAUAGAUAAUCAAGUACACCACUUAGAGACCCUUCACAUACAAGUUUAAUACAUCAGUUGAUUUUAUAAUGCACUGAAACAAGUAGAGUGAUUCACCACCAAUGUCGCGUCACACUUAUUACAUAGGAACUCUAAAAAUUGAUAUGAAUACUGUGAAGAGACCUCAGACAUAAGAAAGCAGAAGCUUGAAGUAGACAAUAAUGUACAUAGAAAUAGAGAAGAGAGCAAACACAUGUUGCCAGAAGAGCAAUGCUGAAGCUUCUCUGACUGCAUAACCUCUCAAGCUAGCAACUGCUCCCAACAAAAUGGCACUUGGUGUGGUGUAUUGCAGCAAAAGAACGAAUUGGUACAUCUUAUCAUCAGGAAUUAAAAAGUUCAGUUCAUCUGCCAAAUAGACCACCCCUGUUCCCAGCAAAGGAAGGACGAAAAGCCUAGCAACGCUGAUGCCAACAGUGGUUCGAACCCCAAGUUCAGAUUCAUUUGGACCCUCAGCAAGCAUUCCUCCCAGAAUCAGCAUAACUGAAGGCACCAUAGCUUGAGCUAGUAUAUUUAAACUGUCCGUGAGGAACUCGAGAGGAGCUUCUGUACCAUAAACAACAGAUUUAAUGGGUAGAACCAUUCCAACAAUAAAAGCCAACAAUAUAGCAAACAUUGGAGGCUGGAGAACAUGUCGAACUGGAGUUUGUUCAGCAACAAUUCUUAAUUUUCUAACCACCCGAGGCUCCGCUAAACAUCUAAUAGAUUUUGGACUCGUUGGAGCUGGCGCUUCCUCCAAACUAUCAGGGUCUGGAAUGGAAGUACUCGAGAGGGUUGAGACACUUGUAAAAACUCGCGCAAUAAAGGGUGUCUUGCAAUGCACAGUUUCUCUAUCUUCCAUACCAGGCCAUUCAGCUUCCACUAGAAGUGGCCUACUUAAAUCAUUACUAGGUAAUUGCUCCUGAAUCUCACCACCCCCAUCAACAACAUCAAAGUACUCAAUUGGGGGUUCCAUCAUAUGGUAAACAAGAGUGUAAACAAGCAGGACCGCCACCCAUUGAGCAAACGACACAUAAGACACACCAGUCGUGUAGCAAUCUGGACCAAAAGGAUUGUCAUUACUAUGACACACUGAUCCAACAAUAGCAAGAGGCAAAUUUCCCGUAUUCCCAAACGCAGUCGCAAUAAUAGUGAACCUAAAAUACUGUGGAGGUGGCUUACAAAUUUUCGCCACCAAAUACCCCAACAGACAACCAAUUGCAGUACUAAGAAGCACAUUAGCUGGUAUAAACCACCAGCGCAUAAAGUUCUUGACAGUAAUAGUCUCACCAAGGUGAAUAAAGAUAGUACAAGGCAAGAAAAGCGCAAAGACAAGCUUACUAAGAAGCUUAAAGGUAGCUUUAGGAACUAAUUGGGUUCUUGGAUGUGCAAGAAUCAGACCAAUAACAGUUAAACAUAGGAGCUUCAACAAUGGCAAAACAGCAUAUACAAGGUAAUGACCACCAUAAUACAGAUUGACAUCAGUUUCAGAAAAUGGGGGUUCCAUUUUUUUAGCUUGAAACCACAAACGAAGCUUCCAGAACCUCUAUCAAAGCCCCCCAAAUCACUUGAAAUUCUAAUCAAGAUUGAAUCUUUACAAGGUGGGUCAUUAAAAAAUCUUCAGAUUUGAACAAUCCAGAUAACCCCAAAUCUAGAAAAUCACAAGUCACCGAUAGUAUUUUGGUAACAACUUAAAAGACACUUAUAAACUACAGGUCAAAAUCCAAGAUUCUGUAAACAGGAUUCUUUGAAAGAAAAAAAAAAAG